AGAAGAGGAGCACCCCCCACCACCACCACCACCAUCGAGUCCUGAAGUCAUCAAUGGAUACUUCCACUGAGCAUUGAAUGUUAACAACUUUCUACACUGUUUAUGUGGAGGCACAGAGGCUGUAAAGAAGUGCUUGAAGCAGGAUAGAAGAGAGCAUCUGGGCAGAGGAUAAUAUGGACAUAAAAUGCAUUUAAAGAAAGCAGGUGUUGCUUCCGGGACCUGAACUGCUUAUUUUACACUGAACUUGCAUAUGUUAUUUCAUCUGGCACCUUAGCAAUGAUCCCCCAAAAAGAUGAGAUUCCUUACUCAAGGAGUGGAUUAGUUCUUGAAAGUUAAAGCUGGGAUUUUGAUUUGAGGAUGAAGUUUAGAUAGACAUGGGACUACAACUAUAGGUCUAAAUCUGAGGGCCAUGAAACCAAGAUAGAGGCAGUUAGAAUAGGUGGAGCUUAGGAAGUCGGAAAGGAGAAAACAGGACACACAAAAAAGAAUUAUAAAUCACCAGAGUGAAAUUAUUAACUCAGAAGAACAUCCAAAACUUAUGAUGAGAAGAUUUUCUUGCUUUUGGUUUUAAGAUAUUACAUAAGGGAGAAGAAGACUCCUCAUGGCUCCUGGGAACUAGUGAUUUCAGGGUAAAAGAGAAAUGAAGAUUUCCUAUUGAUAAUUCAGCCUCUAGUCCACAAGCUUGAGUGAUGGAUCUAAGGAACCAUAGCCAAACAUCCAAAUACU